rnacentral:lncRNA from 1 species
UUUAAUUUCUCUCUCAAACCCAGAGGCAAGGCUAAGGUCAAGCAACCAUAUGAAUCUUUUCAGAAUUCCAAUAAUAAGGAAGUUUAGCAUUAGGUUUUUUUAAUCCUCUUUAAGUUUUCAUCUCAGAUCAAAUCAUAUUACUCCCUCCGUCCCAUUUUAUGUGGCAUCAUUUUCUUUUUGGUUAGUCCCAAAAAGAAUGUCACAUUUUCUUAUAUGAUAAAUAAUUAAAGGUACAAUUCCUUUUUUACCCUUGUUGGUCCCACUUAAUCUUAAAAUAAUAUUCCAAUACAUUUAUGAGGAGAAAGAAAAGUGAGUCUACUUUUUAAAGGGCAAUUUGAUAAACAUUUCAAAGUCUUCAUUUAUUUCUUAAACUCUGUGUCCGGUCAAAUGUUGCCACAUAAAAUGGGACGGAGGGAGUACUAUUUUGAGCUUAGUCAAUUUAUUAGGGUGUACAAGGCUUUGGUGACUGAAUGAGACUCGUACGGCCUUCCGUUGAGCUACUACUCGAUCAGGUCUAAUCCUAUUCACUUUUCUCUUCUUAUGUUUUACUUAGAAAUUAUUCGUAUUUCUCGUUUAGAUUAUAUCAACUGGGAGUGGGAAUUUACAACUGGAAGUGGAAAUUUACAGAUGUUAGAUUGUUUUGACUUUUGUUAUAAUCAAUUGUUGAACUUUCUCACAAGAUGUUAGUUCUGUGUUUGGAUUAAGAAUAUGGAUUUUGAUACCUACUUCCUUUGUUUAAAAAAAAGAUGCCUCUUUACGUUUUUUUGCAACUCUUUAAUUUUCAAUUUCCACAUAACAUGUUUAACACCACGAUAUUAAAGGACAUUUUGAUACAUUCUACAUAUUUCUUCCUUUCUUAAACUUCGUAACAAUUUGAAAUGAAGAACAUAUAUGAUAUUGCUUUAUUCCUUUCUACGCAAAUCAGGGAUGGUUGGUUUUAGCAAGAUAAAAUUUGGUUCAAACUUUUGAGCUAAAAUCGUGAGCUGUGAUAAGAGUUUUGCGUUGUACGAUGAUUUUAUUUUGUUCAACGAGUUCACUAAAAGUAGAACGUUUAGAUUCCUGCACCAUAGAGAUUUUGCAUGAACAAAAAAAACGUUUUAAGUGUGUUACUACUUGCUAGAAGUAUCUGCAUUGUCUCACUGCUGAUUAAGAAUUAUGAUUUGAAAAAACGGUUCUUUCUCACUAAAAGCUAUCACUUUCCUGUAAUUUUUUGCCACUACUUUAAUUUAUUUAAUAGUGUUCUUGUUUUGGUCAGGGGAAGGAAGUUGAGUUUGUUGUUUGAGCAUUAUUUUCAUCGUGGUGUUAUCCCUCCACCAAAUAUCUGUCAUGUUUGCCCAACUUUUCUGAGCUUUCUCCCGCCUCUUUUUUGGUCUCUCUCUUGGUUUGUUUUCUUUGGAUUAUGAAGUCACGAUCUUUUUUUUCUCACUCAGACAUGGUCUGUAGUAUCUUCAUCUAAACAGCUUCAUAUUAUCAGCAACAAUAUGGAUACUCGAAGCUGUUUUCAAAAGGGAGAUUUUGAGGUUUUAAAUGAAUGGCUUGCAAAUACUAAUCUUUGUUCCAUUUAAGGUAUCAUCACCUUCUCCCCAUAAGCUACUUCUAUUUUCAUUGGUUCCCUUAUUUGUUAGAAGUAUUACCUUGUUUGCAGCUUGUCACUAGAACAUAAUGAAUAUAGGACUUUUCAAAAUCAACUUAACAAAGCUAAAAACAUGAAGGCAUGUACUUCUUCCCCUUAGCAAGUAUAUGAGUCUCUCUGAUUAUAGAUAGAUACCUUUGCAAUUCUAACUAAUAUUAUCUAAAAGACUUAAUGUUUAAGCAAAUUAGAACGGUCAAACAAAUGUAUUUGUAAUUCCGUAAAUGUGGUUGUGGAGUGUGUUUCACAAAUGAGCUAUGCCACCUUAUCCAAUGAAAUAAAGGACCCCUAAGGUUAUUAUGGUCCUUGAUAAUUUGUGGAUUAUAGAGAAUGGUGAGAACCGUAUACCUCACUCUCUACAUUUGGAUCGUCUUUUUUGGAUGGUAAUUUUAAUAACAUUUGGAGUUCUUAUUGGUUUUGCACAUUGUAUUUUUUUAGCAGUGUACCAUUUAUAAUUCGACAAUUUGGAGCUUAAAUUAAAUGCCUUAUUUCAUUCGUGGUGAUCAUGUUAAGAUUCUUGUUAAAUUGUUGCAAUCGCACCACAAACCAAGAGAAAGACUUCUCGAACUGAACAACCUUCGUGGUGAAAUGGUCUUCUAUUAUGGCAGGGGCUAGGGAUCACAGUAUUUGGAACGGCAUACAUGUC